AUGGAUGAUCAAAUAUGGUAUUUGAGAACAUCAAAGCUGGCUCUGGCCUUGGCAAUUAUCCGCUCAACACCAGCAGACACAAGCAGCAGAGAAUACACAGAGCACCUUGCAAAGGUGGUGUCUGAGCAGGAGUCAACAUGGAGAUCAAAAGUUCAAGCUUUGGAAGCUGAAGUUCUGCAAUUACGCCACAAACUUCUUCUGAGCAGGAUGCAUGCGGGAGUGUUUAAGAGUGUGACAAGGCAGCCAUUUAGAAAUGAAAACAUGUCAGUUGUAAGAAGAGCUGGCUCUGGUAGGAAUGGUGGGAAGGGCCGAACACCCACCAGCUCGGUCCUGGGCCUGGAAGAGAGAGGCGAGAGGCUGGGCUCAGGUGAGGGCAGCCGGGCGUCCCGAGGUGUGCCGUGUUCCGUGUUCCAGAUGGACGUCAUCAGCCCUGCCACACCUCCUCCUGAUGAUAACCUUAUUUGUGUUUAUGAUGGCAUUUCUGUCAAAGAAUGGCCUAAAAUUACUAGUUUAGCUUUAACUGCAGUACCUCUCAGCCCACAUCAGAAGAUUCUAGUGGUCAUAGACAUACUUUCAAGGAUCCGCGACCCAUCUUCCCAGUUGCAGGCUCAGGAACCCGGAAGUUCUGAAAAUACAUUAAGUCUUCUGGAAGAUUCUGGGUGUGAUUUAUCAAAUGAGCAGAGAAGUGAGCCUUCAGAGAUGACCCAGCAUCUUGUGGAGAGCUGCACCCCCACAACCUUUCUACCACUGCCCAUUGUGAAAAGACAUUGUGCCACUCAGGAAAAUCCUCUGUCUUCCCACAUGCAAUUCUUGCAACAUCUACUUGAACUGAAGAACUUGACAGAAUCAGGGAGUCUGAAAACAGACUUAAGCCACUUUGAAAAUGACUUUUCCACAGUAUCUGAUUCUGUUUUUCAGUUGCUGGAUGGCCUUAUCACUUUUUACCGUAAACCCAAAUUUCCUUUUUCAAGCUUUUGGGCAGAAGCUGUUAAUACGUUAGCCAGACUGAUCAGUGAUUGUAACUUAUCUAAUCAUAUUCUUAAAAAGUGUUCCAAGAAGUUGGAAGAAUUUGAGAAAACCCUACUACAGGUUAUUUUAAGGAGCAACCAUAUAAAUCGGACUGCCAUUUUUGCUCAGCUCACCAGUGAUGUGGCCUUCAGGAAGCAUAGCGACAAGUGUUUGACUUUCAGUGCAUAUACAGAGAAAGGAAGAAUAGACAGAGCUGAACCUGGUUCAGAUUACUUUCAAGGGUCCUCCCGGUUCGCUGCACGUGCCUCUCGGCACGUGGCUGAGCCAUGGCCCCGGGCACCCUGGAGCCGCCGGGCCUCAGUGGCGGAGGCUGUGUCAUCCCUGACCAUCGGCUGAUGCCUUCGCUGCAGCCAGGCGAGAGCCCCGCCCUGCCGCCCUCCGCGCUCAAUAGGAGAUUCAUCUGCUCCUUCCCUGACUGCAGCACCAAUUACAAGGCCAGGAAACUGGACGUGCGCCUGUGCAAGCACACGGGGGAGAGACCGUUCGUUUGUGCCCAUGAAGGUGUGGCAAAGACUUUGCCAGGGACUACCAUCUGAGCCGCCACAUCCUGAUUCACACUGGGGAAAAGCUGUUUGUACAGCUAGUGGUUGUGAUCAAAAAUUCAACACAAAAUCAAACUUGAAGAAACAUUUUGAAUGCAAGCAUGAAAAUCAGCAAAAACAUUAUGUAUGCACUUUUGAAGGUUGUAAGAAGGCCUUUAAGAAACACCAGCAGCUGAGAAUCCAUCAGUGCCAGCACACCAAUGAGCCGCUGUUCAAGUGUGCCCAUGAAGGAUGUGGGAAACAUUUCACCUCACCCAGCAGGCUGAAGUGACACAGUAAGGUCCACAAGGGCUAUAUGUGUCAAAAAGAAUGUUCCUUUGUGGCAAAAACAUGGACAGAGCUUCUAAAACAUGUGAGAGAAACCCAUAAAGAGGACAUAAAAUGUGAAGUAUGCCAGAAAACAUUUAAGUGCAAGGAUUACCUUAAGCAGCAUAUGAAAACUCACGCCCCAGAAAGGGAUGUAUGCCGGUGUCCAGGAGAAGGCUGUGGUAGAGCCUACACAACUGUGUUUAAUCUCCAGAGCGACAUUCUCUCUCUUCACGAGAAAAGGCACCCAUUUACCUGUGAACAUCCUGGCUGUGGCAAAACAUUUGCGAUGAACAAAGUCUCACUAGGCAUGCCAUUGUGCUUGACCCUGACAAGAAGAAAAUGAAGCUCAAAGUAAAACCAUCUCGUGAAAAACGGAGUUUGGCCUCUCGUCUCAGUGGCUAUAUUCCUUCUAAAAGGAGGCAAGGACAAGGCUUAUCUGCACCUGAAAACAGACACACUAAGCUGUACCGAAGACAAGGUGCUCUCGACCGUUUCGCUCCGUGCCCUUAACCGACCCUCCCACUGCUUUGUUUAA